AGAGUUUGAUCCUGGCUCAGAACGAACGCUGGCGGCAGGCCUAACACAUGCAAGUCGAACGCUCCGCAAGGAGAGUGGCAGACGGGUGAGUAACACGUGGGAACCUUCCCAUCGGUACGGAAUAGCUCAGGGAAACUUGAGGUAAUACCGUAUACGCCCUUACGGGGAAAGAUUUAUUGCCGAUGGAUGGGCCCGCGUCUGAUUAGCUAGUUGGUGAGGUAAUGGCUCACCAAGGCGACGAUCAGUAGCUGGUCUGAGAGGAUGACCAGCCACACUGGGACUGAGACACGGCCCAGACUCCUACGGGAGGCAGCAGUGGGGAAUAUUGGACAAUGGGCGCAAGCCUGAUCCAGCCAUGCCGCGUGAGUGACGAAGGUCUUCGGAUUGUAAAGCUCUUUUGGCGGGGACGAUAAUGACGGUACCCGCAGAAUAAGCCCCGGCUAACUUCGUGCCAGCCGCCGCGGUAAUUC
rnacentral:rRNA from 1 species